GGGACCUACAGGGCGCAGCAGUGAGGAAUAUUGGUCAAUGGGCGGAAGCCUGAACCAGCCAAGUCGCGUGAGGGAAUAAGGCCCUACGGGUCGUAAACCUCUUUUGCCGGGGAGCAAGGGCGGGGACGUGUCCCGGCCCGGAGAGUACCCGGCGAAAAAGCAUCGGCUAACUCCGUGCCAGCAGCCGCGGUAAUACGGAGGAUGCGAGCGUUAUCCGGCUUUAUUGGGUUUAAAUGGUGCGUAGGCGGGCUUUUAAGUCAGCGGUAAAAAUUCG
rnacentral:rRNA from 1 species